rnacentral:rRNA from 1 species
UACGUAGGGCGCAAGCGUUAUCCGGAAUUAUUGGGCGUAAAGAGCUCGUAGGCGGCUUGUCGAGUCUGUCGUGAAAGCCCGGGGCUCAACUCCGGAUCUGCGGUGGGUACGGGCAGGCUAGAGUGAUGUAGGGGAGACUGGAAUUCCUGGUGUAGCGGUGAAAUGCGCAGAUAUCAGGAGGAACACCGGUGGCGAAGGCAGGUCUCUGGGCAUUAACUGACGCUGAGGAGCGAAAGCAUGGGGAGCGAACAGG